rnacentral:rRNA from 1 species
GACGAACGCUGGCGGCGUGCCUAAUACAUGCAAGUAGAACGCUGAAGGAGGAGCUUGCUUCUCUGGAUGAGUUGCGAACGGGUGAGUAACGCGUAGGUAACCUGCCUGGUAGCGGGGGAUAACUAUUGGAAACGAUAGCUAAUACCGCAUAAUAUUGACUAUUGCAUGAUAGUCAGUUGAAAGGUGCAACUGCACCACUACCAGAUGGACCUGCGUUGUAUUAGCUAGUUGGUGGGGUAACGGCUCACCAAGGCGACGAUACAUAGCCGACCUGAGAGGGUGAUCGGCCACACUGGGACUGAGACACGGCCCAGACUCCUACGGGAGGCAGCAGUAGGGAAUCUUCGGCAAUGGACAGAAGUCUGACCGAGCAACGCCGCGUGAGUGAAGAAGGUUUUCGGAUCGUAAAGCUCUGUUGUAAGAGAAGAACGAGUGUGAGAGUGGAAAGCUCACACUGUGACGGUAUCUUACCAGAAAGGGACGGCUAACUACGUG